ensembl:lincRNA 4933440M02Rik RIKEN cDNA 4933440M02 gene
GCAUCUGGAAGAUCAUCUCUGGGCUUGGUGUGUCUCAAAAUCAUCAGGCAAAGUGGCCCUGUCUCAGGGCGAUUCUGGAAAGUGCUCAGUCCACCCCAGUAUCUUCACCUGAGCAUUCUACUUUGUUGACUGGAUCUGGCUCAUCAAGGGCUGAGGAAGUUCUUCAGGCAGAAUGAGGAAGAUAUAUAGAUGAACUAUCUGGAUAAGGAAAAGAGGAAGAACAUUUGAGACAAAUGGAUAGCUGGCAUGAAGUUUCCUCUUCUCCAGAACUAAGGGCUGCCACCUGUUCAGAGAACAAGUUCACUCUGGCUGGAAGUACACCACCUGGUCCCCUUUCCUUUGGGACCUGUCCUGGAAGACAUGUCUGCAGAGCUGAGUGAGGCUCCCUGCCCCGGCUGCUGUCCUGGCUUGCAGGAUCUGGGAACACAUACCCAGAAACAACUCCCCAUGCAUGCGCCCUGCCUUUCCUCACAUGCUUCCCAGAGAGCACAUAACAUACUUCAAGAAAACCAAAGAAAGAAAAAAUUGCCCUAAGAGUUCCGGAAUUGACCUCUGGCUACAAAGAGCAUUGUGACUGGCUUACAAAGUUAUACGAUUCUCUGACGAAACUCUUUGUGACCCAGAGCAACUACUUAAGAGUCUGUUACAAGGUGUACAGUGUAUUCUCUCUGUGAGCUUACAUCUGUGGGCUCCACAAAGGGCAUGCAUGCCAAAAGCCUGGGUACGUGGUAGUUCCCAGUGACUGAAUCUUCGCCCAUUGGAAAAGUGAGGAACAGAAGAAAAGUCAGGCAAAUAGUCUAUGAGCUGGCUAGGGAAUGAACACAGAAACCUACAAUGAACGACACAAAAGACAUUCAGAGAGUGACUUAGGAGCACUUAGACCUCAGUGGGAUGCCUUCCUCAGACUCCUCCCCUCAGGGUUCAGGGAGCUCCGUGGAAGAGGACGAUCAGAGCCAGAGGGGACAGAUGUCUCAUGACUGGAAGGAAACAGUGUCCUCCAGACACAACAAGAUUGACGCACAUAUGAACUCAGACACUGUAGCAGCAUGCACAAUGCCUGUACAGGUUCAAGCCAGAUGGAUUCUGUUCCUGCGAGGAGGAAGUGGGCACAAGUUCCAUCCCUGACCAAGAAGUUAUCCAACCUCAAUCGAUAACUGCUUGCAAAGGAAAACUUAGAUGUUUCCAAUGGAGUUUCACUGGGAUUAUAAACCAACCACACUUCAGGGCAGGCCCCCUGCCCAUCAGUAGAUGGCUAAUACUAAAUGAAUCUAACGGUAUUUUUGUAGACUUUUGAUCUUACAAUGCUUUGUUUGAGUGUAUGUGUGUGUGUAUGUGUGUGUGUGUUACUGGUCUUUUACUAGUGUGUUAUGGUUUUUGAUUUUAUGGUUUUAUAUAUAUGUAUGUUUCUUGUGAUUUUUCUUUUAAAAUGUUAUUCUCUUCUCUUUUUUGCCUGUUUGUUUUUUAAACAAGAGAAAGAAAUCAUGUAGAUGGGUGGAUGGGGAGGCAGAGGGGAGCUGGGAGGAGCUGGCGGAGGGUAAUCAUAAUCAGAAUAUGUUGUAUGAAAAAAUAUUUUCAGUGAAAGAAUACAUUAAAAAACAAAC